rnacentral:lncRNA from 1 species
UUCACAACACAGUAUCAUAUCUCUUGUGAUUUACAAACUCUCACUCUUCAUUAUCAAUCAGUGUUUUCUAACAAGAACCCUAAAUCAGAAAUCCUUAAUUUCUUAGAGAUUAGGGGGGGAUAUAUAUUAAUAUCCUGGAGUAACAUGGAGAGUUUCAGGUGACUGGUAGUUUGAGAAAAAAGCGAACAAAUCCAAGUGAAGCACUGGUACUGUCCACUACACCGGAG